rnacentral:rRNA from 1 species
UACGAAGGGUCCAAGCGUUAUCCGGAUUUAUUGGGUUUAAAGGGUGCGUAGGCGGCUUAUUAAGUCAGUGGUGAAAGCCCGUAGCUUAACUACGGAACUGCCAUUGAUACUGAUGAGCUUGAAUAUACUUGAGGUUGGCGGAAUGUGUCAUGUAGCGGUGAAAUGCUUAGAUAUGACACAGAACACCGAUUGCGAAGGCAGCUAGCUAAAGUAUGAUUGACGCUGAUGCACGAAAGCGUGGGGAGCAAACAGGAAUUAGAAACCCGACGGUAGUCCAAGACCAAUGUACCGUCUGCACCUG